UGAACUGGGCAGCACUGGCUCCAUCCAGGGGGGCCACCUUCAACGGUGGUGACCACGGAGGAACAGAGCCCUGGGUGGCUGACCGUCCCAAUUUUAAAUCUUAUUACAGACAGACAAGACACUUCUGGGAGCCAGACAGGAUUCCUGGGCAACUUCUGAAGUCCAACCCCCUCACUUGGUAAGAUGAGGAAACUGAGGCCCAAGGAGAUACAGUGAAUUGUCCAAGGUCACCCAAAGACAAUAUGAGAACUCCAACUCUAUUUCUCUCAACGUCCUUUCAUUGAGAUGCUGUUCUGGGGCCAAAGGGCAACACUAAAGUCUCAGAUGGCUUCUCUUAGGGUCACAGAGGCCUGCCUCAGACUGUUAAUGUCCAGAGGGAAUUGGAGGGGGCCCCAGGACUGCUGGGGGUCCUUCCUGUCAUUAAAUGAGACCUCCUUUCUGGGCCCCAGAGAAGAGGCGGGGGCAUCUUUUCCUUUUUUUGUUUUCAAUUUUUAAUCGUGGCAAAAUACACCUAAUAUCUUAACCAUUGUUAAGUGCACAGUUCGGUGCUAUUAAAUACAUUCAUUUUGCUGUGCAACCAUCCCCACCAUCCGUCUCCAGAACUCUUUUCAGCUGGCAAAACUGGAACUCCGUGCCCAUGAAAUAAUAACUCCCACUCCCCUCUCUCCCCAGCCGCUGGCAGCCACCCUUCAACUUUCUGUCUCUGUGCAUUUGGCUGCUCGAGGGGCCUCACAUAAGUGGAAUCAUACAGUAUUGAUCCUUUUGAGACUGGCUUGUUUCACUCAGCAUAAUGUCCUCAAGGUUCAUUCACAUUGUAGCUUGUGUCAGAAUUUCCUUCCUUUUUAAGGCUGAAUGAUAUUCUGUCGUAUGCUUAUACCACGUUGUAUUUAUCCACUCAUCAGUCGAUGGGCACCUGGGUUGCUUCUACCUUUUGGCCGUUGUGAACAGCGCUGCUGUGAACAAAGGUGUAUAAAUAACUGGCUGAGCCCCUGCUUUCACUUCUUUGGGGUGUAUACCCACAGCGGAAUUGCUGGAUUAUACGGUAAUUCCAUUUUUAAUUUUUAGGGGAAAUGUCAUACUGUUUUCCAGUGGCUGCACCAUUACAUUCCCAGCAACAGAGCACAGAGGUCCCAGUUUCUCCACAUCCUCCCCAAUACUUGUUAUUUUCUGGUUUUCUGACAGCAGCCGUCCUAACGGGGGUGAAGCGGGCAUCUUGGUUUCUGUCUGGAAGGUCCUCCUGAAGGGUGGCUCCGGAACAGGCCCGCGGGAGGGCCUUCCAGGGGGUGUCUCCUGGGGAGGGGGGAGGGGUGUUAGGUGACCAGCUUUGUAGUUGUUUUGAUCCAGCUGGCCCCCUGAAAUCCGUGAUAAUCACCAAGUUUUCCGAGAAUCUCUUUCUUCCUGUCUGACAUAGGUGCUUUUGUGAGUGAGACUGUAAAGUACUCAGUACCAUACACAGCAUACAGUGUGCGCUCAAUAAAUCUGAACUAUUGUUAUUAAUAUUAAGAAGACUUGAGGUUGCCAGAGUCGGGGGUGGGAAAUGGGUGAAGGAGGUCAAAAGGUACAAACUUCCAGAUAUAAAAUAAUUAAGUCCUGGGGGUGUAAUAGAUGGCGUGGUGACUGUAGUUAAUAAUGCUAUAUCGUGUAUUGGAAAGAUGCUAAGAGAGGAGAUGCUAAAAGUUCUGAUCACAAGAAAAAAAAUUUGUAACUAUGCAUGGUGACGGAAGCUAACUAGACUUACCGUGGCGAUCGUUUCUCAAGAUUUACAAAUAUCGAAUCGUUGUGUUGUACCUGAAACUAAUGAAAUAUGUCAAUUACAUCUCAAUUAAAAAGAACGACUACAGCUGCGUACGUCAACGAACGAUGACACCAAGGAAGGGUUCUGGAGGUCUGAUGGCCCCUUCCCGUCCAGGGUCUCCUAGAGGCUGUCCCUGCUACUUGGCUAUUUUUGGCCUGCCUCAUUCUGGGAUCCUGUCUGCCACCUCCUAACACCAGGAGUGAGGCCAGAGGAGACAGCUCUGGUCCCUGGGAGCCUGUCCCCCUCACCAGGUCCGGCCUGUGUUCCCUCUGCCUUUCCACCUAGCUUGCAGGCAGUUCACUCCUGAAGCUCUUCUCUGCUCUCUCUCUUCUUCCCUACCCCCAUUCCAACUCCUGCUGCUCCAGGGGAGGAGGGAGACGCAAAUUCCUCCACUGGUGUGAGGCUCCCAGAGUGUGAACUUGAGAAACCAGAGGUGAACGUCUGCCUGUGUGUGAGAGAAAGGCGGCUGAUGCUGCGUGAGCUCGUGGGAAUCAGGGCCGAGCGGGCAAGAUGGUACCAGAGGUCCAUGCAGAGAGGACACCAGGAACUUCCUGGGUCGGCUGAGGAAGCCCAGGGUGUGCAGAGGGCCAGAGGGACUCGUGAAAGAGCGAGCCUCGGUUCCGAAGAAGGAGAUCUGGGUUUUAAGGCCCCGCUCCAGCAAGGCCCUGCCCCACCUCUCUGGUCUUAUCUCCCCUUCUCUCCCUGUGGCCUUUCCUUCCUGUUCCUGCAACACCACGCUUGUCCCCUGGCCUGGAGCCCUCUUCUGCCUAGCUCUGGACGUGGCUGGUUACUUCUCAAGCUAUGGGCUCCACGCACAUGUCACCUCCCCUGGGCCCUUCUCUGACCACAGUGAAUUGGUCCUACCAGUCCCUCUGUGGAUUCCACCCGGAGCUCUUGGAAUUCUCUGAAAUGACCUUGUUCAUUACGUUAUUUUCUGGGUGGCCUGCUCCCUGCCAUUUUCCCAGUCCAUUGUCAUGGCUAUCUGUUGACCGAAAAAAUAACUCUGCUGUACGGCCUCACGUGAGCUAUUUCCCUACUCUGGGCCUCAGUUUCCUCAUCUGUGGAAAGGGGACAAAGAGCCCAGAAUCUUCUCUGACUCUCGCUCAGCACGGACUACAAGGAUCUAAGAAAAUUAGGGGGAUGUUUUGAAAAGCACAAAUGAGAAGUCACUUGCUGAGAGCAAAGAGACCAGCCUGUGGGAGAAACUGCUCAUUUAACACAUCUUGUUUGCUUUGCAAAGUGUGACUUCCCCCAGCCAACUCCUCAGCAAAUAGUCUCACCUCCUUCUCUGAGGAAGCAACGACUUCUUAAGGCGAUAAGAAUAUUGAUUUUGUUUACUCUCAUCUUUGCCUGAGAGGGAGAUGGUUCAAUAUUAGUUACUCUUGAGCCGAAUCCUGCAAUUUGGGGCUCUGGCAGGAACUUGCUAUGUGACCUUGGGCAGGUCUCCUUCCCUCUCUGGGCCCUACUUUUUCCAUCCCUCAAAUGAGAGAGUGGAAAUAUUUGAACUUGGACUCUCCUGGUGCUGGUAUUUAGGAUAACACAGCCUUGCCAGGAGGGAGGAGAAACCACGUUGUCCCAAAGUGCCCCUGGCAUGGGCCUUGUCCAGCGUGUCCAUUAAUAACACUUAAUCGGUCCCUGCUCUCCCUCUCAAAGCACUUUCCCCUCCAUUAUCUCCUAGCAGGCUCCGGGAUGGAGGUGGGGCAGCAAGCUGCUGUCUUCAUCCCAGUUUGGCAGAGAAGAACGGAGGAGAGAAGCAAGACUUACCUGCCUGCCUGAACAAUUUCCUACCAUUCUCUCCCUCAUUCUGCCUCAGGGCCUUUGUACAUGCCACUCACUCCCUCACCCUGAAAUAUUCUUUCCCCCGGCUACCCUCACUUCAUUAGCUCUCCACUCAAAUGUUUCCAAGAAGCUUUCUCUGAUCACCUUGUUCAAAAUAACAGCCCCCUACUCCCAUCUCUCUCCAUGCCCUUACUCUGUUUUAUUUUUCUUCAUGGCGUUUCUUGACAUUUGGCAUGAGAUGAUCUCUUCACUUGUUCAUUGUCUGUUUCCUCCUCUAGAAUGUCAGCUCCAUGAGAUGGGGAUUUUUGUCUGUCUUGUUCAGUGCCAUCUUCCCAGUCCCCAGCAGGGGCCUCGAAUAGCGUAAAUGCUUACUAAAUAACUGUUGAAUUGAAUUAACCUUCCAGGGACGCAGAAAUGGAAGUGACCUGGAAAGACAAAUUUCAUCUGUGCCUCUGCCACCAGGCUGGAGGUAGGGCCCCGUGUGGGUUUCUCUUUUGUGAGACUCUCUCAGCAGAAAUCAAGAUUCUUGGUGUCUUUAAAAGAAAGAGUGGUUUUAAUCGUGAGCAAGAUCUGCACGUUUUCUAUACCAGCCCUGUCUGACUUCUAACAGGGGUUGACGGAAACAGGAAAAGGGCAAGAUAUUUAGGUUACAUGUUGCAGAUGAGCGAUAUGCGCAAACUGCUAAAAAGAGAGAUUUGACUCCUUCUUGCUCAGGACUGGGGUUUUCUGAACCUUGUUCAAUAGUCCUGGGUGAUGACGGGCGUGAUAAUCAGAUUAACAGUGAUGGUCUUCACGGGAGUCAACAGGGCUUUCAACGCCUCAUUAGUGAGCCUCAAAACAGCCCUGAAAGGAGGGUACUGCUAGGAUGAUCCUCGCUUUACAGGUGGGGAAACUGAGGCUCUGUAACUCGAAGCAUGGGGUCAAUAUGCCCACGGUCAGACCGCCAGAUGCCAACGUAAGUGACCUCCGGAAAACUCCUUCACGGAAGGAAAGGUUCAGGGUUGGGGCGCUGGGUCAGACUGCCUGUCUCUGAAUCCAGGCUCUGUGACCUUGGGUAAAUUAAUUACCUGCGCUGUGCCUCAGUCUUCUCAUCUGGAAGAUGGGGAUGAGGAUGAUGAUGCUCGUGUCAAUGAAGAUUCACUGAGUUUCAUCUGCGAGAUGCUUAGGACAGAGAGUGGCACAUGGUAAGCGCUCAGUAUUUGUUAUUUUUAUUAUCAUCCCCUUGUACACUUUUUUUCUCUUUCCGUCUCAUAUACAUGGCACACACACAUGCACACAUACCCGGUGGGCUUCCUGGAGGAGAAGUUCUGCUAGAAAGCCAGGCAGCCAGCUGAGUUCCAGACUAGAGGCAGGCUUAGAUCUCCUCCUCUGGCAGGACAUUUUCCACUGAGGGGAGUGACAGCCUCUUACAGCCUUUCCCACCCUUCUCCAACCACCACACUCACACCAGCCCCAUGCACAGGUCAUGUGCCUGUCCCUCGGCCUGCGUGUGACUCAGUCUGGCAGCUGGACCAGACGGUGGGAGGAGAGUUGGAGGUUAGCACUGCCAGGGGUUGCUUGGAGCAGCUGCCUGACUGCAAAGGUCAAGGUAUUGAGUUUCCACCUUGCGUGGUGCCCUGGGAGGUGUGCAUGAGACCCUGUGGAGACCAGGCUGGGAGCCCCUUGCUCAGCAUCGAGGUCCACGUGUACACUGGACAGUCUGUGAUGCAUUUCCUACCACCCAAGGUCUACAGGGCAGCCGGGGUUGUUUAGAUCAUCCUCAUGAAAUGGGGCUCAUUGAGGCUGAAUGUCUUGCUCUAUGUUACUCGUCUGGUGGAACCGGGAUGCAACCGAGGUUUGCGGAGUUUAAACCCAGCACGCUUGCCAACACGCCACGCGGACCGUCCUCGAAGCUGUAUGCCAAUGUGUGUGUGUGUGUCUACAUAUGGAUACGGUGUACUGAGGUAGGAGGUGACCCAGCCUGGAGCAUGCAGCUCAGCUUUUCUGUCUAAAUCCAUGUCUGAGCAUUAGAAGCAUGUGGUGAGUCUUUUUAUUUAUGCAUCAUUAUAAUUUAAAUUUUUAAUUUAUUUUUUGAACAGGUGUUAAAGUCACAUAGUUCAAAAUUCAAAUGGGUAUGGCAAAAUGUCACCUGCCUCUCCAUCCACUCACUUCCCCUCUCUAGAGGCACUCAGUUCUCAGUUUCUCCUGCCAGGCUAUUCUGUGCUUCUGCAAUUCAAUAUGAACGUAAGCAUUCCCCCCAACACCCUUUAUAAAAAUAGUUGCCCACUCCACUCACCGUUAUGCUCCUUGCUUCUUUUGUUUAAUAAUAUGUCCUGGAGAGAAUUCCAUACCAGUACAUAACGAGCUGCCUUGAUAUUUUCAAAGCUGUGUAGUGGUCUGUGGCAGACGUGCACCUAUUUGACUGGUCCCCUGUUGAUGAACACUUAGGUUAUUUCCAAUGUUGCAAUGACACACUAUGGUACAGUGAGUCAUCCUGUAUGUAAUCUCUGGGCAUGUUUGUGGGGAGAGGUAGAGCCUGGCUACUCAAAAUGUCCCAGGACUAGCAGCUGGGCAUCAAACGGGAGCUUCGUUAGAAGCACAGCAUCAGAGGCCCCACCCCAGACCUCCUGGAUCAGGAACUGCAUUUUAAAAAGAUGCCCAGGGGAUUGGCAUGCGCAUUAAAGUUUAAGGAGCGCUGGUCUGGAAGAUGGAUUCCCAGAAGUGGAACUGCUGGGUCAAGAGAUCGGUGCAUUUAUAAUUUUGACAGGUACAGCCGAAUUCGCGUCUGCAGAGCUUGAUGCGACACACCUUCCCACCUGCAAUGCAUAAGCAUUUGGGGAGAAUCUUGGGGGAAAAAAUUUACAUCCGGUGCCAAAAACUACGGAGGGCGGGAUUCCAGGGUCUGAGGGGUGCCUGGAGUCUGCGUCUCAUACACUCCCCGGGUGAUUCUGAUUUCAGCCAGGUUUGGGAACAACUAUCCUCAAUACAUCCCUAGCAUUUGACUCUAGAGUCUUCUUUGGGGCUCCUGGUGGUGUGGCUGUGACGAUCUUUAACUCUCCAUCCAGGGACAGCUAACUCAAACGCCCACACGGGCCAGAGAGAUAGUCCUUGUGACUGAAGUGGACUGCGUUACCUUUAUACUGAUACCAAAGUUAAAAACAAAACAAAACAAAACAGAUGCAAGCCAAGUAAAACACAUUUUGGCUGAAAUUGGGUCCACGGUCCACGAGCGUGUGACCUUUGGUGCUCUCAUGAUGCCUUUUUUAAAAAAAACAUCUGUUUUGGCAAAUAAUCUCAUUCUGCCUGGUGAGGACCCAGGUGUGCUUCCUCUGCUCAGUGCUGGAGAUCUUAGGGACCAAGACUCCCACUUUACAGAUGAGAAAACUGAGCCUGGAGUGGAGACAGGGUGGCCCUGGGUUUCGCAGGAAAGUUUAAAAUAAAUCAAUAUUUAUUGACUGUCAGGCCAUGCACUCAGUGCUGGGCGAUUUGAGCCUGCGCUCUGGCAUCCAGGGCCUUGAGGAGGCAGGGGCAAAUACACAGAAAACAAAUCAUGGCCAGCGGGAGUCAGCGUUCAAUAAUAUGAGUUGGUUCCCGGUGCCGACGUGGGUCCGAGGAAUGAGCGAAGUUUUCACAGAGGAGUUAAAGCCGAGAAAGACGUUGGUGGGUUUUGGUUUCUGUUCAUCUCAAGACGGGAUUUAGACCGAGGUUGGCAAAUGUUUCCCGUAAGAGGCCAGAGAUAUGUGAGACCCUGCAGGCAAGGCGGUCCCUGUCGCGACUGCUCAGCUCUGCCCUUGGAGAGCUAAGGCAGCACCAGACAACAGGUAAACGACGGGUGUGGCCGUGCGCCAGUGCAACUUUAUUUAUGGACACUGAAAUUUGAAUUUCAUAUAAUUUUCACAUGUCAUGAAAUACGCUUCUCUUGAUUUUUUUCCCCCCAGCCAUUUAAAAAUGUGAACACCAUUCUUAGCUCACAAGCUGUACAGAGACAGGCGGCGGGCCAGAUCUGGCUGGCGGCCGGAGUGUGCCGACCCCUGAUUUAGAAGACGAAGAGGAGUUUACCAGGCAGACGGGAGAAGGGUGUUCCAGGCGGAGGGUGGCAGGUGCAGGGACAGGGAGGUGGCGGGGAAGAAACGACAACAGAAAAGUUAGGAUCAAAAUGUGGGGCUCUGGGCUCCCAACACAGUGCUCGCUCACCGGCCCAGAGGACGAAGGUGCAGAUGAGUGAAUCGGGCUGGGUGGGGACUGUGGGAAGCAGGAGAGGGGGUGGCCCCUGGCUAUCUAGCUCCUAUCCAGUGCUGCAAAAUUCUUCUGAUUGUUCAAGAGGAACUGGAAAUGUACUCGUUGUGCAAAUGUUUUCUGAGUACUUACUGUGUGCAGGGUCUGUUCCAGGCACUGGAGGGUCUAUGGAGGUCAAAACAGACUGAAGACACUGCUUGCAAACUAAUGGGAGACAGACCUGAACAAAAUAAAUAGACUAUGUAGCAUGCUAGACGGUGACCAGUGCUGUGGAGAAACAACGCAGGGCAGGGUCGAGCGUCAGGAGCAGGGUGAACUCCUGGAUGGGGCAUCAGGGAAACCUCAGUGAGAAGCGGGCAUCUGAGUGAGGGCUGGAAAGAGUCACAGAAUGAGCUGUGGGGGACCCUUUCCCCAGGAGAACAGCAGGCCACGCAGAGGGAGAGCCGUUCAAUGCAAAGGUCCCAAGGAGGGAGCCUGCUUAGGAUGUUCUAGAAACAGCGAGGGGCCCGUGUAGCUGGAGCAGAGGGAGUAAGCAGAAGGCGCUGAGAGUGAAAAGGUAAUGAGGGCAGACCGUGUGGGACUUUGUGGGCCACUGUGAGGACUUUGGCUUUUGCUCUGAGUAGAUGGGAGCCAUGGAGGGUUCUGAGCAGGGGAGGGAAGGGAUCUGACUGCGGUCCUCACAGGAUCCCUCUGGUUGCGUGUGGAGAAUGGACGGUUGGUGGGUGAGAGAGGAGGGGGAGAACUCACCCCGCUCUGGGCAUCUGCAUUUUGAAGGUGGAGCCAUAUAAUUUGCUGAUGUUUAGGAUGUGGGAUGUGAGAAAUUCAGAUCUCACUGUGAAAACUUCCUGUAUGGAAUCGAUGCCAACCAGGUCGAAUUUUAAACAUGUCCCUGGGAGCCGUCAAAGCUCCUGCAGGCUGUCAGUUUGCCGCCUUUCUGCUAACCAGGCCUCUCCCCCUUGGUUUAACUCUUUCAUUGCCAUUUUACCUUUCUCCUCUUCCUGUGUCCUUUUCCAGAUAGAUGGGAAUCCAGCCUUGAUUAAGGGUGGGGCUAUGCUCUUGAUUUCUUGGUAUCUCACGAUGAAAUGAGAGAGUGUGGGCCACCAAGGACGCUUUUCCCUCGCCCGGUUAACUGUUCAGCAGAAAUCUGUGGAGCAUCUAAUCGCGGCACGAACUUCCAGAGAGAGCCAGGCCCUGAACGUCGCCACCCUGGCUCCGUCCCUCUCAGACCCUGCAGUCACGCCUCUAGAAGUAAUUUUCCCCCAAACCUGCUCAGAGCUGCUCUCCUGAAAAAGGAAACAUUUUUCUCCCCUUCCAGGGACAGCCCCAUCCCGCCAGAUUUCUCAGAAGAGUAUUGGGCUCCUGACCCACUCCUCGCCCGCCUGGGUGCAGGCCUGUCCGGCCCCUCUGAGGCCGGCUUCCGCCCAGCAUCCCUCCCCAAGGUCACCAGUGACCCCGCUGCCGAGCCCCAGCAGUCUCUUCUGGUCUUCACCGCAUCAGCUCUGGGGCUUUUGUGGAGGCUCUUGCAGCCCUUGCUUCUGGAAUUUCUUGGUUCCUGUAAAGCUGCUCCUCCGUGGGUCCCCUCCCUCCCGGACCUCGGCUUCUCCUGGUCUCUCCUCCCUCCUCCGCAGAUCUGGUGGUAGAAAUCCUGCCCCUUUGGACAAUUCGCUAAAAUUUGCAGUGUAUGGACCCUCUGACGCAGCCAUUUCCUCCUGGGUUACUGUUGUAGAGAAACACUGUGUCCAAGGGGACAAGCAGGAUGUUCGUGACAGCAGUGCUCCUAAUAAUGGAAAAUCGGAAGCAACCUGAGGGUCCACCCACAGAGGAAUGAAAAAGAAAUCUUGCCUAUUUCUAUCACAGAUUACGUGCAGCAGGGUCAAGAAGGAAAUAGAUCUGUUAGUGGCGACUAGUGGCGACAUGGAAAGACCUGUGACUUACGUUACAGAGGGGAAGAAAGCAAGUUGCAGAGUGAUACCCACGCUAUUCCUGCAUUCCACAGAUAUUUUUGGGGCUUCUGCUCCACAACUGACACUGUUCUAGACACUGGGAAUACAGCAGUGAACAAAACGCGCUCCCUACCCUGGCUGAGCUGACGUCCCACCAGGGGGAGGGCAGAGGCAGGAAUAAAUGGUGGUAAGUACAAUGAAGAGAGACAGAAAGGGGGAUGGUUUCCCAUUUCUGUAAAAAGAAUCACCACAAAAUAAUACUAUGUGUUUUCUAUGGGUAUUUAUUUAUGUAUAUAAAUGCACUAAAAAAGGUCUGCAAGGAAGCACCCCAAACUGCUGACAGUCUGUUCUGCGGGAGCAGUGGGUGCUGGGUGGCUGUCCAAAGGCACUUCAGCUUUACGGGAGGAUAUACCCAUGUAUUUCUUGUGUAAUGAAAAAUUAAUGAUAGUAAGCAACUGGAAGCCUCCGACAGUGCUGCUGGAAAUAUAAAAUGGUACAACCACUUCGGAAAACUGUUGGUAAUUUCUUAUGAAAGCUGAACACGUGACUCGGCAAUCCUACUCCUAAGUAUUUGCUUAAGAAAAAUGAAAACCUGUGUCCACACGCAGACUGGCCCACCAAUGUUUACAGUGGCGUCAUUCAUACGGGUCCCAAAGUGGAGCCAACCUGAAAGACCAUCACGGGGUGCUGGGUGAACACGGAGUACAUCCUUGCCCUAGAGCGCUACUCAGCAAUGAAAAGGAGCAGGCCACUGAGACGUGGAUGAACCUGAAAGCAUCACACUGAGUGAAGGAAGCCAGGCGGCAAAGUGCACACACCAUAUGACUCCAAUUACAUGACAGACAAAACGAAUCUGCGCUGAUGGAAAUCAGAAGGACGGCUGCCUGUGGGGGUCAUGGGCGGACUGGAAGCGGACCUGAGGGAACCUUCCGGGAUGAUGGGAACGAUCUCGAUUUUCGUUGGAGGGGUGUACACAGAGUGCAGGCAUUUGUCAAGAUUCAUUGAAUCAUACGCCUCAGAUCUGUGCCUUUCAGUGUAAGUAAUUUUACCUUGAUAAUAAUAAUAAAAUAACCACCAAAGACGGGGAGGAAUGCUCUGACCUGCUAGGAGUGUUCAUUUCUAAAUCGUGGAAAGGUAGGUGAUUUUCAUUUUCUUCUAUAUGCUCACCUGGGUUGUUUGAAGGCUUCAGCAAUGCACAUGUAUUCCUUUUGUGAUCAGAAGAAAAAAAUGUAAAAGAUCUUAUGGCCUAUACAUCUAUGAA
ensembl:lncRNA